GAAAACAAAAAACCCGCCUUUAGGCGGGUUCUUUGCCCGGUGUUCUAAGGCGUAGGAACCUUGGAAUCCGGUGGGUAACAGCUUCGAGCAGGAAGCGGAUACCGUUAAGUACCCCCCCAGUUUAGCCGCGUGCGGCCCACUGUUCAAGUAUCAAACCCCUGCUCGAACCCUGUUACCAAAGGCUUUCACCUUUGGCGCUUUGUCGUAUUCGCUCGGAUUGGACGCAAGUGAUUGUUGCCGUAGCGGGUGUGAAGGUCGGGCAGAACGGGGAAAUCUCACAUACUGCCCAAGCGUGCAAUCGCGCACCACAGCCUCCCAGGGCUCGCAACCCUGGGGCAUCUGCAAGUAGAGCGUAACGGGGCACCAACCACGGCCAGCUCUUAAAAAACGGCGCGGCAGCCCGACCAACAGGCGGGGGCUAAAGCAGAGUGCAGCGGGACGGGGUGUGUUCUCUGGAGCGCGUGAGAGGGAGCUGCCGCAAGCAGUCUCGAUAGUCCGGAGCAAGGCGAGCUUAUCCUGUAAAAGACCCUAAAUCGAUG
rnacentral:misc_RNA from 1 species